AUGCACCAGCCUCAUGUGAUUUCACAGAACACCUCAGUCCAAGUGCUUGAGGCUGCUGGGCUUAUGAUAAGUUUUACUGCUAAACUUGAUCGCUUUUUCAGUCCACUCUCAAGUACUCCUGAUCUCGAACAGCAGUGUUUGAAUGGCAUCCACUCCUCUCCUGGUGCAGGAAGCAGUGACUCAGUACUCAAACACAGAUGCUUACUUUGGCAGGGAGUCAGUCCCGACUCUCACCUCUUCUCAGCCACUCCAGUUCCCUUGUGACAAAGGCUGGAGUGCUGCCAAUUGCUGAAGAGAUGGAAUUGAUCUUGUGUCAGAGGAGCAGAUCCGUUUCUUUAGCAGCUGCCUUUCUUUGCUACCUGUACUGCUAUUAUGCAGUUCCCCUGAGCAAAGUGAUGGUGCGGAGUGGUUCACCCUGCACCUAAAGUUUAUGGAGGAAGUGAGUAGUCCAAAAAAGAUGGCUCUUAUAGAUUUAUGGAAGGUUACUGCAGUGUUUCCUUGUUUUUAAGAGCAGAUCUUGUAGAGAGUGAAUCAUUUGAUAUGCUGGCAAGUGAGACGUUCACAACAAGUUGCGUUAAUGCAGACAUUUCCUCAGUCUGGGAGUGAAGCCUUGGAGCAAGACAGCAAUGCAGGCUGGACAGGACACGGUGGGGUACUGCUCAGUAGCAGAGAUCUCCGCUGUACCUGGUGCUGCUAGCUGUCAGUCAGCAAGGUGACUGUAAUGGGGACAGGGUGGGCAGGGCUGUGCUGCUGUCAGCAGGGCUAGGAAAGAUUUUUGGGGAGCAUGCUGGGGUGGAUUUAUAUACUAGUCCUGAUGUGCUGGCUUCUCCUGACGCUUUGGUUUCCUGUGCUGGAAACCUUACGCACUGUAUUAGACUGAGAUCAAUUGGAGCUCCAUUAAACAAACCCAACUAAAUUAGCACUAAUGAUGUGUUGUGGUAGAAUUAGUGCAGGAGGUCCUGGACCUGGUCAGGCAGAAAUCAAAAGGCAUUGCUGAUGUUCUUCGUUGCUAAAGCUGAAGCAGUUUGAUGCUGUUGUGCUAGAGCAGUGAGAAACAAACAGUUAACAGUUAACCCUAGAAAGGGUUGUUUGGGGGGAGCGCUCCAAAGCAGCACACCCUCAAGCCUGCCUUUCAUAGCUUGCUUUUUUUUUUUUUUUAAGUCUACUUUACAUUUUUAUUUUCCCAGCUUUUAUGAUCACAUUGAUUUAUACAUAAAGUUAUCGCUCUUAGUGGUUACGCAAACCACUCCUGCAGACUUGCCAUUAACAUAUUACCAUGGUGACAUCCUUAUCACCAUUUAACCUUGCAGUUCAUUACUAAGCAAAUCCCAUUCCAGCGUGAUUUCUAGGUCAGGACAAAAAGCCCAAACAAAUGGAUUUUAUUUUCCUUUCCAGGCACCAAAUGAGGUUUUUCAGGAAAUGGACUGAAGUUUGCACAUCCAUCAUGCAGUUAUGUCAGGCAAACUUUCCAGACCCACAUUCUUUUGUUUCCAUAGAAUCAUAGAAUCACCAAGUUUGGAAAAAACCUCCAAGAUUACCUAGUCUAACUGUCCACCUACCACCACUAUUUCCUCACUAAACCAUGUCUCGUAGUACAACAUCUAAACAUUUCUUGAACGCUUCCAGUGAGGGUGACUCCACCACCUCUCGGGGCAGCCUGUGCCAGCGCCUGACCACUCCUCCCCCAGCAACUGCACUGUGCUUUGUGGGUACAGUGGGCAACAGGGGCCCAUGUUGGUCUCAGCAGGGAGAGCGGCUCUCCCUUUUCUUUGUUUGGGGCUCCCUGCACACUUGUGGGAAAGCUUCCUGGAAGCAGUGCCAAUCCUAAUAGCACCUUGCUGCUACGGUGCAAUUAAGAGCCAUUAAUUUCCCUCUGUUGGUUGUGUAAUUGCACUGCAGGGUGUCCUGAAUGCUGUGUGUGAAUGAGUCUGCAAUUGGAAAUAAUGAAGGUUAGAAACUUCUUGCAUGACUUAAUGAUCAAAUUAGUUCAUUUGACCCAGAAAACAGAUGCGGUGGCACCAAGCUUUGUGUUAGUAAAAAGACCACAGGUUAAGAGUGCUGCUCAGCCCUGUUACUUGAAGAGGGGACCACAGUGCCCUCCAAGAUGCUCUGAGGCAUGGGUGACCCUGGGAGGCAAGGCCUUCUUCGGCUCUAGCUGACAGAGCCUUUCUCCAGCCUCCCUGACACCAGCCUCCCGCUGAGACGCUGACAGGAGGUGGCUGGCAGGGCUCACAGGGGACGCCAGUUCCUGCGGGGGGCCGUUAGCAGAAGGCUCGCUUCAGGGGCUACACCCAGGGCUGCUGAGAGCUUUCAUGGAGUGGACAGAGCACGGCAGGGCUCACCCCAGCCUCUGGGCGGCUGAGGGGACAUCUCACUCACUUGGUGCCACCUACUGGGCUAGUUGACACGUGGGAUUUCUGUUAUUAGGCAGCUAGUUAGGGGCGCAAUGUGGGGCUGGGCACGGCUCCCUGAAGGGUCGCGGGGUCAGGCAGCCCCUGGGGCGGGUGGCUCGGGUGACAACCCUGUCACAGCCCCCGGGCACGGUACCCGGACCGCCGGGGGGCGCCAUCGUCGCGGCCGCGCCGGGCAGCGUCUCCGCCAAUUGUUUCUCCGCCCGCCUUCUAGCCCCGCCCCUCUUUGUUGCGGCCGCCAAUAGGAGCGCGCUGAAGGCGGGCGGCAGGCCCGUAGCGUGGUAACGGCGGGGCGGCAUGGAGCGGCGAACCCGCAGAGCGGCCGGGGCCGGGCCGGGGCGCCCGGGCCGUGGGACUCGGGGUGUCGCGCGCGGGGCGGGUACCUGCCGUUAGGGCCUGGGCCUCGGCGCGCGAGAAAGCACAUCUAUACCCAUCUCUGUUGAUAGAGGGGGGCGGCAGGGCCCGGUCGCCCCCCGCC
rnacentral:lncRNA from 1 species